AUAAUUUUUUUAAAGACUCACUGUUUAAUGCAACCUUAUUAUUAAUUAUAACCCCAAUUUAUUACACUAUCUGCACUAAUAGAAGUUAAAAUAUAUUUUUCUACACUCAUGGGUAUAAAACAUUCUAAAUGAUCUUGAGUAAUUGAGUUUCUCAAGUAAUUUUUAAUAUAUUUUAAUUUGGAAAUACUCUGUUCACAACCCACUAGUGUGAUUGAAAAUGAUAAAGGUAGUUUAUAACUUAAAUAAAGAAUCGGAUAAGUAUUGUCUAUAGUGUAUAAAUUAUAGCUAACUAAAACGUUAUAACAACAAACGACACAACACUUCACAGGUUUGCUAGUAUUAUCUGCUAGAUGAGUGCAUGUUUCUUCUGAAAUUUGGUACUUAAAUAAUAAUAAAAUUUGGUUAAUUUUCUUCAUGAAACCUUAUUCUGUUGAAAUAAAUAAAAUCGUAUUUAUAAUUGUAUAACGUAAAAUAAGAAACAACAUUUUACUGUGUAAACAAAAUUUGUAUUUUUAAUUGAACAAUGUUCACAAUAGUAUGUUUAAAUAACAUUAGUCAUACAUUGUUCCAUAAAAAUGCUUUUAACUCUAUUAAAAUGUUUUAAUUAGUUGUAUACUUGUGUGUCGAAAGAAUGAAGAAAUGCAAUACAAAGCAAAAAUUGCAAAAAUAAACAGUAGACAAAAUAAAUUAAACAAAAAAAAGGCAUCUGAUAAGAAGAGGUGACGCGGGGGGUACGUGAUGACAAAUGGGUGGUGCAAAUGAUGUCUGGAAGUAAGUGACUACUGGUACCAAUACAGAGUCCUCACAGCCGUCCUGCGUUGCGAACAAGAGUCGCGGGCGUGUUCGCUCGCGACGCGUAGACGACCAUAGCAGCGGACGAAGCCCGGCCACGACGAGCGGCCAGUACGCGUGACGGUCCAGCAGGUGCUGAAGACGUUGACUGUUGUGCCGGCGACAAACGGUGACUUAAACUUGGAGCGAGCGUCGAAGACUAUAAUCUCGGUGGUGCUUGCGGAAUCGGAGACUGCCGUGGAGUCGCCCACCGCCGAACCCUGAAACUUUUCGUUCCCUCGAGUCCGGCGCUGCUAACGUCCCUGUACUUAGUUACCCUUUAAGUAUAGUCUUCUAUCACCCACCCACCGUGAGCUCUUCGGUUCCCGCCACUAGUCAUCUUUGUGCAAUGUGCAGCACUGCAGUUGUCACCACGAUUUAAGAUAUAUCUUAAAUAAUGGUUGUCACUGGUACCGUGUGGCGGCGUCGUUGCUCGCGACCUAAGCAGCCGGGCGUCCGCCGCUCCGCCAGAGGGUCUCACGUGUCGGCGUCCUCGAGCUCGUGACGUCCGCUAUCCCGUUCGACACCGCCCGACCGCCGGUGGCCGGAGAACGUGUCUUGGCGACAUACCGUCCAUCGCCCUAAAAGUGCACUCUCGCGUACUUCUAUACUCGACCCCACGUCGCCUCGCCUUGUCUGCUGACCUCGACAAAGGAGCCGGGGACUUUCAGACGCCUUCACUUCGCGGAGCAACAACACAAUACUCGUACGGCUCCUCUGAUGCCCCUUCACGCGGCGGAGACGAAUGCCGUCGUCCGAGCGCGCUUACUCCGUCCCCUUGCCGGUGUGACGUCCUAACCGCCUCGUCACAUUGCUCUACUACCGCCUCAACAGACGCGACCACUGAGUCUCCUAUUACCGGCUCGACCAGUCCAUUCCAGAGUUCUUUGUCUGGUUGGUCGGUGAUCGACGGCGUGACCUCGGCGUUUUCUAUUCUCGGCUCCUCCAGUCCAUUCCAGGGUUCUUCGUCUGGUUGGCCAAUGAUCGACGCCUGACGCCUCGUCGCUGCCUGCAAACUUCAUCGCGUAACCUAGGAGCAUCGCUGUGUCUCUAACGGUUGGGUCCUCGUCGUAAUUGUCAAGACUCUUAACUCUUUUCGAUGCAGACAGCGGUUUCGAUGUUAUGUGAUUCAGAUUCAACAAUAUUAUUGCAAGUUUUAGGUGCGGAUAUGGGUAGUUGGACAAAUAAAAUGCAAGUGAGCCGAUUUCGAAUUUCCUCCGGGGCCGUCGCCGAUUAUUUAAAACAAAACAAAUUAGUUCAAAUUAUAAAUAUUGGUCCAAAAUCCAAAUAGCUAUCGCCACAUUGCCAGUCAACCCUUGACAGAUGUCAUAACAUACACUACACAAAGUGUCCCGUGAGGAUAUACCAUAGAGUUACUCUAUCAUUGAAUGUACCCAUUAGCCGUAGAAGGGAACUUGCCUUCCGGAUAAAACUAGUUUUUUUUACCGUUUUAACUACAAACUAAAAAAAUCAUGUAAUUAAUGAAAAUAGAAUAUUGAAAGGUCAACAUUUUCAGAAAAAUAAACUCUACAAAAUGGACUUUUUUUACCAAAAACUUAAAUUGAAUUUAAAAAUAAAUUAUAAGUAGUCUUUGACUUUUGUCUCUGUGAACCUAAAAAAAAAAAAUUUAUGAUAAAUUUAUCAUCUCAGGAGAUAUCGCAAUGGGUAAAUCCUCGCGGGACACACUGUAUACUUCAUAGAGUAAUUACCAUUGUCCAUUACUCUAUGGUAUACUCAUGUAAUAGAUAUCGCAGAAUUAAAAAUGUCAUUAAAUAAAAUAAAACAAGUCAAUUGAUUAGAUAGAUUAAUGUUCAAUUAAUUAGAAUUACCAAUGGAUUUAUAUAAGUAUUAAUAUUAUCUAAUUCAAUAAGAUUUAAUUUUUAGUAUAGUCUUAGUGUAAAGUAAAAUGAAAUUUUAAUGAAUAAUAAUACAAUUUAAGUUUUUUUCAUUUUUUAAAUUAAAAAACAAUCUGUAUCCGUAAUACUACUACACACAAUAAGAAUAUGCGAUAAAAGUUAACAUGUGGUUUUGUUGAAAGAAGCCACCCAUUGAUAAUAUUUAUUUCAAUUUAACGUCAUUUAAUUUAGUUUAAGAGAUCACGAAUUCACGAUUCACGACACUACUUAUUUCAAACGUCUAGGAAGAUUUCCGGGUAUUCUGGGAGUGGCUAAGUUUUUUAUUAGUUGAUUUGGAUGAUUAUUUAAACGGAAAGGAAUCCACAAUAUAACAAUUAUUUACUAAUUACUUAUAAUAUAGUAAUUCUUAAAAAUAUAUCACAUUUUAGUUGAUUUUAAAUUAU